GUAAAACUCGCUUUGGCGGUACAUGUUCUAAAAUUGGAACGAUAAAGAGAAGAUUAGCAUGGCCUCUACGCAAAAGGAUGUCGCGCAAAAUCGUGAAGCGUUCCACAUUUUU
rnacentral:snRNA from 1 species